GCUCCCGUAGUGAAAUGGAUAUCACAGCAGUCUUCGGAACUGCCGUUCCAGGUUCGAAUCCUGGCGGGAGCA
rnacentral:tRNA from 1 species